GACGAACGCUGGCGGCGUGCUUAACACAUGCAAGUCGAACGGAAAGGCCCUGCUUUUGUGGGGUGCUCGAGUGGCGAACGGGUGAGUAACACGUGAGUAACCUGCCCUUGACUUUGGGAUAACUUCAGGAAACUGGGGCUCAUACCGGAUAGGCGCUCCUGCUGCAUGGUGGUGGUUGGCAAGUUUCGGCGGUUGGGGAUGGACUCGCGGCUUAUCAGCUUGUUGGUGGGGUAGUGGCUUACCAAGGCUUUGACGGGUAGCCGGCCUGAGGGGGUGACCGGCAAAAUUGGGACUGGGAUACGGCCCAGACUCCUACGGGAGGCAGCAGUGGGGAAUAUUGCAAAAUGGGCGGAAGCCUGAUGCAGCAACGCCGCGGGCGGGAUGACGGCCUUCGGGUGGUAAACCGCUUUCGCCUGUGACGAAGCGUGAGUGACGGUAAUGGGUAAAGAAGCACCGGCUAACUACGUG
rnacentral:rRNA from 1 species